AAGCAGGACAGGAUCAGAGAAAGAUGAUAAAAGAAUCCAGACUUCUAUCUGUGAAUAAUUUGAAUAAAGCUAAUCUUUGCAAAGUGUACAUUGGGGCUGUGGAAAGUGUCUCUCUGCAGAGCGUUGUGUUCAGGAAUGUUUUGAAGGUCUAUGGGAUGGAGGCCAAAGUGAAAGCUCUGCCUUUGCCCUACGUCCUGGAAACAAAUGAUCGCUGUAGCUAUCCUAAACUGAUUCCUGGGAAGACCUACUUCUUUAACAAAGACAAUAUUUUCACUGGUUUCAUCAAUGAUUCUUUUCUUCAGUCACUCCAUUUCAUUAUUUCCGAGUGUUCACCUAGGAUCACCACUCACCGAAAAUCAACAAAUAUGCAUUUUGCAUACUGAGCACUUACACUAAAGCUGAGUGUAUGCUGACACCAGCCCAGCAGCUAGACCCUGAACUUCAAAACGUAACAAAGGCAAUGAUGAACAGUUAGGCUGGUAGGCUGGCAGUUAGGCUCAGUUACACUGAGAGCUCUCAAUGUAAAUCUAUCAAACCAGUGAACUUUCUUUUUAAGCAUUCUGCUUUUUAAGCAGCCUUUACUUUAUGCACCACAGUUAUUCUGUGGUGCAUAAAGUAGAUCUUUGAAGCAAUACUGAUGCAAUAGAGUUGAGCGGGGAGUCAAUCUUUCAUUACGUGAAUUUAUAGAUGAAAACUACAUCUGUAAAAUGAAAAUGAAACCAGCUUCAUCUCAAAGAAUAAAUGAAUUAACUUCCUAUUGUGUUCACUAUCUUUAGAAACUAUCUUCCAUAUUUAUUACUGAUUGUAGUCACUUCAUGAUAUAACCACACUUUGACUAGUUGACACAGAAGAUAAAGUCUUAAAACAGAUGUUAACUUUUCCCAAGACCAGACAUUGGCUAUAUCAUAUGACUCAUUACUCAUUAAGUUAGGACAUUAUAAAGCAUAACUAUUAAAGGUGGCACUAAAAGUCAAAAGAUAGCCAUAAACAGGAGGAUAUAGCUGAUCAGUAUAUUUAUGUGUAAAAUUUAUAUGUAAAAUGGUCAAUUUAAUAGUAGCUCAGCCAGUCCACUCUGAUCUAAAGUGGUGAACUGGCUACUGAAAGACCAGCACAACUCUUAGUUACUUAUAGCUUGAUCCUGCAUAGAUAGCUUCAGACUAAUUUGGCCUACGUCUGGCCCCUAAACUGUACCUAGUUUUAUUCCAAGUGCACUGGGAGUUGCUGUAACAGGUGUGGUGAUUAGAUACCUGGCCUGCAAGUAUGCUCAGGCCCCAGUUUUUGCCACAGUAGGUGGACAUUCUUGGAGAGAGAGGUAGGACCAGGCGAGUCCUUUCAUUCACUAGCUCAAUCUGAACUCGGGAUCGCCU
ensembl:lncRNA